rnacentral:rRNA from 1 species
UACAGAGGUCUCAAGCGUUGUUCGGAUUCAUUGGGCGUAAAGGGUGCGUAGGUGGCGCGCUAAGUCGGGUGUGAAAUUUCGGAGUUUAACUCCGAAACUGCAUUCGAUACUGGCGUGCUUGAGGACUGGAGAGGAGACUGGAACUCAUGGUGUAGCAGUGAAAUGCGUAGAGAUCAUGAGGAAGACCAGUGGCGAAGGCGGGUCUCUGGACAGUUCCUGACACUGAGGCACGAAGGCCAGGGGAGCAAACGGG